ensembl:snRNA LOC120102553 U4 spliceosomal RNA
AGCUUUGCGCAGUGGCAGUAUCUUAGCCAAUGAGGUUUAUCCGAGGCGCGAUUAUUGCUAAUUGAAAAAAAGGAACAACUAGUAC